rnacentral:rRNA from 1 species
GGGGAAUCUUAGACAAUGGGGGCAACCCUGAUCUAGCCAUGCCGCGUGAUCGAUGAAGGCCUUAGGGUUGUAAAGAUCUUUCAGCUGGGAAGAUAAUGACGGUACCAGCAGAAGAAGCCCCGGCUAACUCCGUGCCAGCAGCCGCGGUAAUACGGAGGGGGCUAGCGUUGUUCGGAAUUACUGGGCGUAAAGCGCACGUAGGCGGAUUGGAAAGUUGGGGGUGAAAUCCCGGGGCUCAACCUCGGAACUGCCUCCAAAACUAUCAGUCUAGAGUUCGAGAGAGGUGAGUGGAAUUCCGAGUGUAGAGGUGAAAUUCGUAGAUAUUCGGAGGAACACCAGUGGCGAAGGCGGCUCACUGGCUCGAUACUGACGCUGAGGUGCGAAAGCGUGGGGAGCAAAC